rnacentral:ribozyme from 1 species
UGCCCAGCAACUCCUAUCCCUACCUCCUCGUGGUACAGGCCGGGGUACGAGCAACCCGCCAAGAUAGGAGCUCUGGUCGUAUGCUGACAGGGAAGG